GAUGAAGAACGUAGCGAAAUGCGAUAAGUAAUGUGAAUUGCAGAAUUCAGUGAAUCAUCGAAUCUUUGAACGCACAUUGCGCCCGGCAGUAAUCUGCCGGGCAUGCCUGUCCGAGCGUCAUUUCACCCCUCGAGCCGCUUUUAGUGGAUCGGUGUUGGGGCACUACGGUAAAACGUAGGCCCUGAAAUGAAGUGGCGGUCCCGCCGCGGUGCCCCCAUGCGUAGUAACGUUUAGUCUCGCAUCGGGUCCCGGCGGAGGCCUGCCGUCAAGCCUAUUUAUUCUCAGAAUAGUUUGACCUCGGAUCAGGUAGGGUUACCCGCUGAACUUAAGCAUAUCAAUAAGCGGAGA
rnacentral:misc_RNA from 1 species